rnacentral:rRNA from 1 species
GACGAACGCUGGCGGCGUGCUUAACACAUGCAAGUCGAGCGGCGCGGCGAACGGGUGAGUAACGCGUGAGUAACUGCCCCCCUCUCUGGGAUAACAGUUGGAAACGGCUGCUAAUACCGGAAAGUGGGGGAUGACUCGCGUCCUAUCAGCUGGUUGGUGGGGUAGUGGCGUACCAAGGCGGCGACGGGUGGCCGGCCUGAGAGGGCGCCCGGCCACAGUGAGCGGAGAUACGGCCCAAGGUCGUACGGGAGGCAGAAGUGUGGACUAUGGCAGAAAGGGGGAAACCCUGAUGCACGAGGGCGCGGGGGGGAUGAAGGCUUUAGGGUUGUAAUCCUCACAUGAGGCGCUAUGGGUAGGUGGAGAAGAAGCGACGGCUAACUACGUGCCAGCAGCCGCGGUAAUUC